UAGGGAAUCUUCCACAAUGGGUGCAAACCUGAUGGAGCAAUGCCGCGUGAGUGAAGAAGGUCUUCGGAUCGUAAAGCUCUGUUGUUAGAGAAGAACACGUGCUAGGUAACUACUAGCGCCUUGACGGUAUCUAACCAGAAAGUCACGGCUAACUACGUGCCAGCAGCCGCGGUAAUACGUAGGUGACAAGCGUUGUCCGGAUUUAUUGGGCGUAAAGGGAGCGUAGGCGGUCUGUUUAGUCUAAUGUGAAAGCCCACGGCUUAACCGUGGAACGGCAUUGGAAACUGACAGACUUGAAUGUAGAAGAGGAAAAUGGAAUUCCAAGUGUAGCGGUGGAAUGCGUAGAUAUUUGGAGGAACACCAGUGGCGAAGGCGAUUUUCUGGUCUAACAUUGACGCUGAGGCUCGAAAGCGUGGGGAGCGAACAGGAUUAGAUACCCUGGUAGUCCACGCCGUAAACGAUGAGUGCUAAGUGUUGGGGGCUUUCCGGCCCUCGGUGCUGGAGCUAACGUAUUAAGCACUCCGCCUGGGGAUUACGACCGCAAGGUU
rnacentral:rRNA from 1 species